UCUCCUCACACAGGAUAUGAGUAACUCUCCUUGACUACAGUGGGAGUUACUCAUAUCCUGUGGGGCGAGAA
rnacentral:miRNA from 1 species